rnacentral:tRNA from 1 species
UAGCUCAGUUGGUAGAGCGUGAGACUCUUAAUCUGAGGGUCCAGGGUUCAAGUCCCUG